GAUGAACGCUGGCGGCGUGCCUAAUACAUGCAAGUAGAACGCUGAAGCUUGGUGCUUGCACCGAGCGGAUGAGUUGCGAACGGGUGAGUAACGCGUAGGUAACCUGCCUCUUAGCGGGGGAUAACUAUUGGAAACGAUAGCUAAUACCGCAUAAAAGUCGGUAUCGCAUGAUAUUGAUUUGAAAGGUGCAAUUGCAUCACUAAGAGAUGGACCUGCGUUGUAUUAGCUAGUUGGUGAGGUAACGGCUCACCAAGGCGACGAUACAUAGCCGACCUGAGAGGGUGAUCGGCCACACUGGGACUGAGACACGGCCCAGACUCCUACGGGAGGCAGCAGUAGGGAAUCUUCGGCAAUGGGGGCAACCCUGACCGAGCAACGCCGCGUGAGUGAAGAAGGUUUUCGGAUCGUAAAGCUCUGUUGUAAGAGAAGAACGAGUGUGAGAGUGGAAAGUUCACACUGUGACG
rnacentral:rRNA from 1 species